rnacentral:rRNA from 1 species
CACUUGUGCCCUGGGGCGCAACCUGAUGCAGCGACGCCGCGUGAGGGAUGACGGCCUUCGGGUUGUAAACCUCUUUCAACAGGGACGAAGCGCAAGUGACGGUACCUGCAGAAGAAGCACCGGCCAACUACGUGCCAGCAGCCGCGGUAAUACGUAGGGUGCGAGCGUUGUCCGGAAUUACUGGGCGUAAAGAGCUCGUAGGCGGCUUGUCGCGUCGAUAGUGAAAACUUGGGGCUCAACCCCAGGCUUGCGGUCGAUACGGGCAGGCUUGAGUACUUCAGGGGAGACUGGAAUUCCUGGUGUAGCGGUGAAAUGCGCAGAUAUCAGGAGGAACACCGGUGGCGAAGGCGGGUCUCUGGGAAGUAACUGACGCUGAGAAGCGAAAGCGUGGGUAGCGAACAGGAUUAGAUACCCUGGUAGUCCACGCCGUAAACGGUGGGUACUAGGUGUGGGUUUCCUUCCACGGGAUCCGUGCCGUAGCUAACGCAUUAAGUACCCCGCCUGGGGAGUACGGCCGCAAGGCUAAAACUCAAAUGAAUUGACGGA